rnacentral:misc_RNA from 1 species
GGUUAAACAGGUAGCAAGCCAACCCAAAUUCACUUAUUACACACAAUAAAACAGCAAACCCCCACACAAACUAGUAAUCCCUAAAACUUAAAAGCAUACCAUACUCUGAAUCACUUCUUCAAGAACCCCUGAGCCAUCUUCAUGUAACCCCCAAACCCUCCACCGGACUCAGAUUCCUCCUCAUCAUCAUCCCUCGCCGGCUUCGCAGGAGCGUGCUCAGUCUUACCGGCGGCGGAGUUACCGGUUCCAUGGUCAGACUCUGAAGCGUGAUACUUAUGGAGAAACCCCUCGGCCUUUUCGAUGUACGCCCCGUAGCUGCCCUCCCCCAGCUUGCCGUAGUCUUCUGCAGCCGCGAGCAUCUCUUCAGCAGCUUCUGAAAGCUUGGCCUUGUCGGCGCCCUUCCGGUUGAGAGCAGCGCCGGCGAGGAGCUGGGCGUUGGCGAGGAGCUCGGUGGAGGAGGCCUUGUGAUGGUGCUCGUGCUGGCGGCGCGGCUUGUUGGCGUGGGACUCCUCCGAUGAGUAAUCCAUGAGGAUGGGGGUGCUGGAUCUGAGAAGGUGG